rnacentral:piRNA from 2 species
UCCACUCCCACUGCUUCACUUGACCAG